rnacentral:rRNA from 1 species
AGCGGAGGAAAAGAAACCAACAGGGAUUGCCCUAGUAACGGCGAGUGAAGCGGCAACAGCUCAAAUUUGAAAUCUGGCGCAAGCCCGAGUUGUAAUUUGUAGAGGAUGCUUCUGGGUAGCGACCGAUCUAAGUUCCUUGGAACAGGACGUCAUAGAGGGUGAGAAUCCCGUAUGUGACCGGCCCGCACCCUUUACGUAGCUCCUUCGACGAGUCGAGUUGUUUGGGAAUGCAGCUCUAAAUGGGAGGUAAAUUUCUUCUAAAGCUAAAUACCGGCCAGAGACCGAUAGCGCACAAGUAGAGUGAUCGAAAGAUGAAAAGUACUUUGGAAAGAGAGUUAAAAAGCACGUGAAAUUGUUGAAAGGGAAGCGCCUGCAACCAGACUUCGCGGCAGUGUUCCGCCGGUCUUCUGACCGGUUCAUUCUCUGUCGCGAGGCCAUCAUCGUCUGGGCCCGCCGGAUAAGACCUGAGGAAUGUGGCUCCCCCUCGGGGGAGUGUUAUAGCCUCUGGUGAUGCGGCGUGGCUCGGGCGAGGUCCGCGCUUCGGCAAGGAUGAUGGCGUAAUGGUUGUCGGCGGCCCGUCUUGAAACACGGACCAAGGAGUCUAACAUCUAUGCG